rnacentral:lncRNA from 1 species
CUAGAAUCUUUAUAUAUAUGUUUAUAUUGAAUCAAGCUUUAACUCAUUGAAGAAAUUUUGGAUCAAUAUCAAACAUCCAUUAUUACAUUUUGGCUGCUAUAAUCAAUAAUUUCAUAUGAUUUUCUCUAUAAGAAAAAAAAAAUAUAUAUUCGGAUUUAUUAUAAGGAGAUUCGAAAAUCAACUCUAUCAAGAUUAUGGAAACAUGAAUAAUCAUGAAAGAUCCAGAAAUAAUACUUCUACUAGGUAGUAAAAUCAAAGCGCAGGAUGAAUAAGAAUCUAUGAAGAUAAAAUCAUUACAUAAAAGAAAAUUUGGACUGAUUAAUUUCGUAUCGUUUACUACAUUCAAAAUGAAUGCUUAUUCAUACAUUUCAAAAUUAUUUUAAUCAUGUUUGGCUACGUUUGAAACUAUAAUUAUCAAAUGAAAUGUUGAGAAAUUGUAGUGACUCAUGCCCAUCUUUAAACUAUGCUAGCUCAUGAUGCAUAAUCAAUUACUUUUUUGUCACUCACAGAUGAAGAUCUAAUUCGUAUGCUCUUAAGAAUAUAAAAUAUAUAGCACAAAAUUCUUACCAGGACCGGUCUAGAGUGCAAGCCAGCCAAUCGAGCGUUUAGAACAUAUUUUUUUUUUUUUUUUUGGCUCAACUUCAACAUUCAUUUCACAAAGCAUUGGUACAAAGAUUUAACCCCACUAGAGAUUAUACCACAUAAUACAAUGAAGCAGUCUAGUUCCACCCUGAAUCACUAAGUUGGAUCCAACGUAACCUAACGUGCGUCAUGUAUUUUUUAACCACAAUGGGAUUGAAUUCACUCCACGACACGAAGUGAACCAUCCCUUUAACCUCCUAAAAUUCGACCUCAAAUACAAGAUAACUCAACACACAAUUGACCUGAAACCAAUACGGGAUUAUCAUUCCUUGUUCAAGCUGUUAGCAUCCAUGGAAUAAGCUUGACGUUCUUGUACCAACAGGCCAACACCAAGAGGUGCGUUCCCGUAUUGUCCCGAGUCCAUUGGGUUCAUUAUCUCAAACUCUCAGCCGAGAAGCCGGACAUGGAGACCGGAAUGAAACUCGGGCUUCAGCAGCUUACACGCGAACCGGUUCAACAAAUCUUCGCUUCAGAGGGUGUGGAGCUCGUACCACCGGAUCGAGACAAAACAUCAAUUCCGGUGCCGGGAUGUAGAUCUCCGCCACGUACACCGUCAGGGCUCACGUCUCUGGUUGACAACGCCGUCGCCGUAAAGACCCCGUACAUGUUGACUCCGAGAACCGGAGGACAAACCCAUCUUCUGCUGACCAUAGAUUUACUUCUCUGGGAGUCUCACCGCCGUUUAGGAGAGGAAUUCCGCUCUGGAGGAGGUGUCUGACCGAUACACGCGCCGCCACUGAGGAAGGAGACGCCGUAGAUCUUGAAAAGGAAAAUUAGAUCUGGCGGCCUUCACCCUAAAAGCCGACUCGCUCCCUUUCCGUCAUCCCUUGAGCCUCGCCGUUACUCCGAAAGAAGCCAGAGACAGACGCCGUCAAACCCUAAAAGGGAGAUUCUUCGUCCUGGUCUCGACAGCUCAGAGUUCACAGCAAAGAGACAUAGGGAGUUACGGCCAGGGAAGGAGCAAAAGAGAAAAACGAGUUAAGGGAGGAGGGAAAGCCUCCGGCUCCGGCGGCCGCCGAGCCGGAGCUAGGGUUUUAAGUUCUGUUUUUAGAGAGAGGUAGGAGCGUCUGUUUCUAGAGAGACAAGUGAGUUGUGAUAGUCACUCUUCAGAACAUAUAGUUUUAGAGAGUAUAUUUGAUUUAAUAUUUUAAUAUUAAGAAUGUUUUUUUAUAAUUUAUAUAUUAAUAUAAUUUACAUUUCUUUUAUUUAAAAUAAUAUUUGUAAGAAUUACUAUCCAUGUUUAUAGAAUUUUUUCCUAAUAAGUAUAUUGAAUAAGUGUACUGUUAAAUAAUAAUUAUU